CGGCAAAAGGACUCCCUGGUUCGUCUCCGGUUCGCGCCAAAACGGCCUCUGCCCUGCACCUCGCCCUCUCGCCUUGGGCACGCACGACCCACCGCACAGUGCACUGCGAGAAAAAAAGUACAUAAAAAGAGCCUUGGAAGUCCGCCCGGUUUGGACGGGCUGGCCCGCGGCGUGCCGUGGAUGCAUCGGCCUUCGCAGCCAGGAUGGGCAGAGGCAUCGUCGGCCACCUGGUGCUCGUCACAUCCCUGCUGGCUCUGCGAGUGUCGGCGGCAACGCGGAGCCGUGCCGACCGCGACUGGCAGUGGCAGAAGUCUACGCGCCUCGUGCCCAAGAUCCAUGGCGUCACGGACUGUUCUGCUAAACACUACUCCACCAUCGACAACGUUACCAUCUUGCUCGGAGACGACGGCGGAGAUUACGUGACUGUGAGGUGCACGUCUCAUCGAGUCAUGAAGACAAUAUCCAAAUUCGCUUUGAUUAUCAACCGCUGCCAACCUGGUCCAGUAAGCGCUGGAAGCUGCGAGUACUACCGAACGCUCACGUGGACCACAGGCGUAUGCAGUUUCAUUGAAGCGAAAGGAGUGAUAUGGACAACCUUUGUCGAAAGUUUCAACCCACCAGCAAAAUGCCCAAUUGACCAGGUGAUGUUGCAGCUUUUCGAGUGCUCUCCUAUAUGGAAGAAACGGUUCCUGGUUUUCCGAGGAAGCCCAUGGACCCAAAUACCAUCGGUUGCUAUGUUCAAUGAGCUAAGAGAAGAAGAAAGGAUGGAGCAAUUAUAGCGGCUUCCCCACCCGCGCGCUGCUACCCCGCUCGGAGGAUAACAAACCCACCCUUGAUCUGAACACAACAAAGCAGCCCCACUACGAAGUAGUCAACGGGACGAUCAACAUGAAGCGCCUCGACACUCUGACAAGAGGUCUCAACAUAGAAAAGCACACGUGGAAGGUAGAAGUUCGUCUGUACAAUGAACUGAGAGAUUUGAUUCUCUGCGCGAUAGUGGUUGGGGAGCCUAGACGCAUGUUUGUAAAAAAAGGAGUGGAUUCACCGUGAGAUCGACAUUUUUGUCUUGAAAAUAAUUUUAUGCCAUUUCAGCACAUCUUGAAGUCUUGAGCGGAAGUGAUCAUAGUCGGCAAGAUGAUUCCUUGUUUCAUACACCAUGAGUUACAAUCAAACUUGUUUCAGUGAAUUUCGCAGGAGAAUAAUACGAAGCCACAAUUUAAAAAAAAAUAUAUGAGAAAUACAGAGAAAACCCUUUUGCAAAACGAAGAAAAACUGUGCGCUUGCGCUAGUGUCUCCCGGAUUUAGAGUGUGGUCUGAAGCAAUAAGAAUGGUGACAAAAAUGAAUAAAGCUGCAAGAUGC